GCAGGAUAGCUCAGUUACUUAGGGCAUGAUGCUGAUAAUGCCAAGGUUGCAGGUUUGAUCCCCGCAUGGGACAGCUGCA